rnacentral:tRNA from 1 species
UUGGUGGUUCAGUGGUAGAAUCCCCACCUUCCAUGCAGGAGACCCAGGUUCAAUUCCUGGCCAA